rnacentral:rRNA from 1 species
UACGUAGGGGGCAAGCGUUGUCCGGAAUCAUUGGGCGUAAAGCGCGUGUAGGCGGUUCGGUAAGUCUGCUGUGAAAGUCCAGGGCUCAACCCUGGGAUGCCGGUGGAUACUGUCGGACUAGAGUACGGAAGAGGCGAGUGGAAUUCCCGGUGUAGCGGUGAAAUGCGCAGAUAUCGGGAGGAACACCAAUUGCGAAGGCAGCUCGCUGGGACGUCACUGACGCUGAGACGCGAAAGCGUGGGGAGCGAACGGG